rnacentral:rRNA from 1 species
AAUCAACGCUGGCGGCGUGCCUCAGACAUGCAAGUCGAACGCGAAAGCCCCCUUCGGGGGGCAAGUAGAGUGGCGCACGGGUGAGUAACACGUAGGUUAUCUACCUUUGGAUGGGGAAUAACAACCGGAAACGGUUGCUAAUACCGCAUAAUGCAGCGGCACCUAAUGGUGACAGUUGUUAAAGCGGGGGAUCGCAAGACCUCGCGUCUGAAGAGGAGCCUGCGGCAGAUUAGCUAGUUGGUAAGGUAACGGCUUACCAAGGCGAUGAUCUGUAGCCGGCCUGAGAGGGCGGUCGGCCACACUGACACUGACAUACGGGUCAGACUCCUACGGGAGGCAGCAGUCGGGAAUUUUGGGCAAUGGGCGAAAGCCUGACCCAGCAACGCCGCGUGAAGGAUGAAAUCCCUCGGGAUGUAAACUUCGCAAGAACGGGAAGAAUAAGUAAGAGCUAAUAACUUUUACGAUGACGGUACUGUUUGUAAGCUCCGGCUAACUCCGUGCCAGCAGCCGAC